AGCCCCGGGACUCCCAGGUCUGCCCACUCGCUGCUAAGGUCUGAACACAGACGACUCACCAUGGAGUCCGGGCUGAGCUGGCUUCUCCUCGUUGCUCUGUUACAAGGUGUCCAGUGUGAGGUGAAGCUUGUGGAGUCUGGGGGAGGCUUGGUCCAGCCUGGCGGGUCCCUGAGACUCUCCUGUGUAGCCUCUGGAUUCACCGUCAGUGAUUACAGCAUGAACUGGGUCCGCCAGCCUCCAGGGAAGGGGCUGGAGUGGGUCUCAUACAUCAGGUAUGAUGGUGGGAGCACAAACUACGCCAACUCUGUGAAAGGCCGAUUCACCAUCUCCAGAGAUAAUGGCAAGAACACUCUGCAUCCGCAGAUGAACAGCCUGAGGCCCGAGGACACGGGGCUGUAUUACUGCGCGAGGGACACAGCGAGAGGACUGCAUUGUGAGCCCAGACACGAACCUCCUGGGUGGCGCGGCCGCCAGGGGGCGACGGGGACACAUGUAUGGAGUCACCCAGGGCAGAUGCAGGAUGGCUCAGCCUUGGUUGCCU